rnacentral:tRNA from 1 species
CCCUGAGUGGUGCAAAUAGUGACACACUUAGCUACCAACCAAGAGGCCGGUGGUUCAAAUCCACUCAGGGG